GCAAACUCAUCAUUAGACAUUAUACUACACGAUACGUACUAUGUUGUUGCACACUUUCACUAUGUACUAUCAAUAGGAGCUGUAUUUGCUAUCAUAGGAGGCUUCAUUCAUUGAUUCCCCUUAUUUUCAGGCUAUACUCUACACCAAACUUAUGCCAAAGCCCACUUCACCAUCAUAUUUGUAGGUAUAAAUUUAACCUUCUUCCCACAACAUUUCCUCGCCUUAUCCGGAAUACCCUGACGCUACUCUGACUACCCCGAUGCCUAUACCAGAUGAAAUAUCUCAUCCAUAGACUCCUUCAUUUCCCUAGUAGCAGUAAUACUAAUAAUAAUCUACAUAACCUGAGAAGCCUUCGCCUCAAAAUGUAAAGUCUCAUUAAUUGAACAGCCCUCUACCAACCUAGAGUGACUGCAUGGUUGCCCUCCACCCUACCAUACAUUUGAAGAACCAACCUACAUUAAACUAAACGAAAAAGGAAAGAAUUGAACCUCCUAAAACUGGUUUCAAGCCAGCCCUGUGACCUCCACAACUUUUUCAAUAAGAUAUUAGAAAAACUAUUUCAUAGCUUUGUCAAAGCUAAAUCAUAGGUUAAACCCUAUAUAUCUUAUAUGGCUCACCCAGUUCAACUAGGCCUACAAGAUGCUAUAUCCCCUAUCAUAGAAGAAUUAAUUGCUUUUCAUGACCACACUUUUAUAAUUGUAUCCUUAAUUAGCUUUCUAGUCCUAUAUGCCCUGUCUUCAGCUCUCACAACAAAACUAACCAACACCAAUAUCACGGACGCCCAAGAAAUAGAAACCAUUUGAACCAUCUUACCCGCAAUCAUUUUAAUCUUAAUUGCUCUUCCAUCCCUGCACAUCCUGUAUCUAACAGACGAGAUCAACAACCCCUCUUUUACUAUUAAAUCAAUUGGACACCAAUGAUACUGAACCUAGGAAUACACAGAUUACGGAGGAUUAAACUUUAACUCUUAUAUACUCCCCCCAUUGUUCUUAAACCCAGGAGACCUUCGACUUCUAGAAGUUGACAACCGAGUAGUUCUCCCAGUUGAAGCCCCUGUCCGAAUAAUAAUUACAUCUCAAGACGUCCGACACUCAUGAACAAUUCCUAUUCUAGGCCUAAAAACAGAUGCAGUUCCUGGACACCUGAAUCAAACCACAUUCACAGCUACACGACCAGGUGUAUACUACGGACAAUGCUCAGAAAUCUGCGGUGCUAACCACAGCUUCAUACCCAUUGUCACAGAAUUGAUUCCACUAAAAAUUUUUGAGAUAGGGCCUGUAUUUACCCUAUAG